GCAGAGAUUGGCUCUAGAAGGAAAAGAAGUUGAAUCUGAUUUCGAAGAAUAAGAAGUGGAAUCAGGAAACUUUGCAGAGAACCCUGCUGUUCAGUAUAUAAAGUGUAUAUAAAGUGCCCAGCAAAUUCCUGGGCCAGCAGAGGCCAGAUUAAUGAGAGCUGUUAUCACUGGCUGAGCAGCUGACAUUCCAACAGAGCUAUGAAGAACGCCUGGGAUUCAGACACGCAGUGAGUGACAGAGGUUCGCGAUGGAUUGGUACUCAGAAACAGAAGCUGAGCUUCGCCCCGGUGAUGAAGAGAGAAUGAUCACCAUGAACAUCAGUGAACUUGGCACAGCCUGUCCCACCAGCCCUGGCCUCCUGGAAUGUUUCCAGCCAAGGAAAGGGAAGACAAAGAAGGGUAGUUGGUUUUCCAGUGUCUAAAAUGCCGAACACAAUUACAUAAACAUAGUAGGUGUUGUGGGCUGAAUGGUGUCCCCUCAGAAUCCGUAUGUCGAAGUUUUAACCCCCAACACCUCAGAAGGUGACUGUAUUUGGAGACCGGGUGGGUCUGAGAGAGAUGAUUAAGAUAAAACGAGGACAUCAGGGUGGCUCCUAAUCCAGUGUGGCUGGUGUCCUUAGAAGUAGUGGAGAUAAAGACACGGACUCACAGGGAGGGAAGACUGGAGACACCGGAAGAAUUCGCCAUCUACAAGCUGAGAAGAGAGGCCUCAGAAGAAGCCAGGCCUGCUCAUAAGCUUGAUCUCGGACUUCUAGGGUCCUGAACUGUGAGGAAAUCCAUUUUGGUUGUUGAAGCCACCAAUCUGUGGCAAACUCAUGCAGUGGCUCCACAGUAAAUGUCUGCCGAGUGUCGUUACAUCAUCUCUUGUGAAUAUACUUCUCUCAAACUAAAUUUCUUUGUCGUGUAGGAUCAUGGCCUUACCUUGAGGCUGAACUUCCUCCAAGGUUCACCCCUGCCUACCUUCCCACACUGCUCAUCCACACGACCCUCCAUUCUAGCCUGCUGAUCUACUCAUGCCCCUCAGAAUGCCGCUAGUGCCUCCCUGCCCCUCCCCAUCCCUCUGCCCUCCUCAGCUCCCUGGGGAACACCCUCUUCCCCGUCACCUAUCUAACACCACAGUAAU